rnacentral:rRNA from 1 species
GACGAACCGUGCGAACGUUAUUCGGAAUCACUGGGCUUAAAGGGCGCGUAGGCGGGCUCACAAGUCAGGGGUGAAAUCCCACGGCCCAACCGUGGAAGUGCCUUUGAUACUGUGGGCCUCGAGGGGGAUAGGGGCGUGCGGAACUCAGGGUGGAGCGGUGAAAUGCGUAGAUAUCCUGAGGAACACCGGUGGCGAAAGCGGCGCGCUGGAUCCCUUCUGACGCUGAGGCGCGAAAGCCAGGGGAGCAAAGCGGG